AAGUUAUACUAUAUUGACAAUUUAUUUUAACAUUUUCAGCACGCCACCUAGCAAGAGCAUGGAUCAAAUAUAGAUACGGAGUUUUUGACGAAAAUUCUCAUCCAGACGAUAAUCGCUUUCCUCUUUUUUACAAACGUAUGGGCAAGCUUUAUCCAAUCAC